rnacentral:misc_RNA from 1 species
UUCCAACGGUAGUGCGAACCU